UGCUGAAAAGCUCUUGAAGAAGGUUAUUAAAAAGCGGCACUGGUUGGUGAUUAAUUAUCCAUUUGAUGAAAUUAAACAGUGCUUACGUGGUUUAAGCUGUUUGGGAUGGAGAAAUUACAGUAACCAUCUGCACUUUAGGUUUCAGAGGGAUGAACUAGAAGAGUAAAACAAUAGGAUCCAUUAAAAUUUGUUAAAUGAUUGGCUUAGUUGCAAAUUAUGGCGAUGUUAAAGGGAA
rnacentral:misc_RNA from 1 species